AUCGCUCGCGAUGUUUAACUGACAUGCCCGUGAGACGUCCUACCGGUGGGCUUAGCUUUUUCGGAGGCGGUCCAACUAAUAUCCCAUCGCGGUGCUCUUAAUUGAGUGUCGAGGUGGGCCGGUACGUUUACUUUGAACAAAUUAGAGUGCUUAAAGCAGGCUAUAUUUCGCCUGAAUAUUCUGUGCAUGGAAUAAUGGAAUAGGACCUCGGUUC
rnacentral:rRNA from 1 species